UGCAGUCGNCGGCAGCGCGGGGCACCUGGCGGCGAGUGGCGAACGGGUGNNCCUNNANNGGAACGUGCCCUGGAGUGGGGGAUAACGCAGCGAAAGUUGCGCUAAUACCGCAUACGAUCUAAGGAUGAAAGCGGGGGAUUCGCAAGAACCUCGUGCUCCUGGAGCGGCCGAUAUCUGAUUAGCUAGUUGGUGGGGUAAAGGCCUACCAAGGCAUCGAUCAGUAGCUGGUCUGAGAGGACGACCAGCCACACUGGAACUGAGACACGGUCCAGACUCCUACGGGAGGCAGCAGUGGGGAAUUUUGGACAAUGGGCGAAAGCCUGAUCCAGCAAUGCCGCGUGAGUGAAGAAGGCCUUCGGGUUGUAAAGCUCUUUUGUCAGGGAAGAAACGGUGAAGGCUAAUAUCCUUUGCUAAUGACGGUACCUGAAGAAUAAGCACCGGCUAACUACGUGCCAGCAGCCGCGGUAAUACGUAGGGUGCAAGCGUUAAUCGGAAUUACUGGGCGUAAAGCGUGCGCAGGCGGUUUUGUAAGUCUGUCGUGAAAUCCCCGGGCUCAACCUGGGAAUUGCGAUGGAGACUGCAAGGCUAGAAUCUGGCAGAGGGGGGUAGAAUUCCACGUGUAGCAGUGAAAUGCGUAGAGAUGUGGAGGAACACCGAUGGCGAAGGCAGCCCCCUGGGUCAAGAUUGACGCUCAUGCACGAAAGCGUGGGGAGCAAACAGGAUUAGAUACCCUGGUAGUCCACGCCCUAAACGAUGUCUACUAGUUGUCGGGUUUUAAUUAACUUGGUAACGCAGCUAACGCGUGAAGUAGACCGCCUGGGGAGUACGGUCGCAAGAUUAAAACUCAAAGGAAUUGACGGGGACCCGCACAAGCGGUGGAUGAUGUGGAUUAAUUCGAUGCAACGCGAAAAACCUUACCUACCCUUGACAUGUACGGAAGCCACGANANAUC
rnacentral:rRNA from 1 species